rnacentral:rRNA from 1 species
AUUCCAGCUCCAAUAGCGUAUAUUAAAGUUGUUGCAGUUAAAAAGCUCGUAGUUGGAUUUCUGGCAGGAGUGACUGACCACAAACUCUGUUUGUGAGUUGUGUCAUUCUGGCCAUCCUUGGUAAGAUCCUUUUUGGCAUUAAGUUGUCGGGAAGGGGAUGACCAUCGUUUACUGUGAAAAAAUUAGAGUGUUUAAAGCAGGCUUAUGCCGUUGAAUAUAUUAGCAUGGAAUAAUAAGAUAGGACUUUGAGUCUAUUUUGUUGGUUUGCGAGUCAAAGUAAUGAUUAAUAGGGACAGUUGGGGGUAUUCGUAUUUCAUUGUCAGAGGUGAAAUUCUUGGAUUUCUGAAAGACGAACUACUGCGAAAGCAUUUACCAAGGAUGUUUUCAUCG